rnacentral:rRNA from 1 species
AUUGAACGCUGGCGGCAGGCCUAACACAUGCAAGUCGAGCGGGGUGAUGGUGCUUGCACUAUCACUUAGCGGCGGACGGGUGAGUAAUGCUUAGGAAUCUGCCUAUUAGUGGGGGACAACAUCUCGAAAGGGAUGCUAAUACCGCAUACGUCCUACGGGAGAAAGCAGGGGAUCACUUGUGACCUUGCGCUAAUAGACGAGCCUAAGUCGGAUUAGCUAGUUGGUGGGGUAAAGGCCUACCAAGGCGACGAUCUGUAGCGGGUCUGAGAGGAUGAUCCGCCACACGGGGACUGAGACACGGCCCAGACUCCUACGGGAGGCAGCAGUGGGGAAUAUUGGACAAUGGGGGGAACCCUGAUCUAGCCAUGCCGCGUGUGUGAAGAAGGCCUUAUGGUUGUAAAGCACUUUAAGCGAGGAGGAGGCUCUUUUGGUUAAUACCCAAGAUGAGUGGACGUUACUCGCAGAAUAAGCACCGGCUAACUCUGUGCCAGCAGCCGCCGUAA